GUUUAAUAUCUCAUAUAGUUAGUCUGUCAAAUAUUCUUAGUGUACAACUUUUUAACAUGAAAAGUAAUUAGAAAAAACUUACUGAUGGCUAUUAUUGUUGAUUUCAAGGUAGAUGAGGAAGCUAUGGACCUAAACAAGGAACUUAUAAACAAAUUACUUGAGCUUGAUGAUGCUGAUGCUGUUUAUACAGGUCAUAAAUAAUCAGUUUUAUAUCCGUGAAAGCUGUUCCGCAGCAGGUGAAAGUUUGUGAUUCAAAGGUAGUGAUGCUGCCUAUCAUUCACAAGUAAUUAUCAUGGGAGACCUAUAAACUUAUAACAUAAUAAUCUCACAUCGUGCUUACUUUUAUGGUUUGAUUUUUAGAAUAAUCUUACAAUAUUCAUUUGUUAACAAUUGUUGUAUCUGUGAGCGGGACACUAUUAGGGUUUCAUUAUUAGAAAUUCAUAAAACAUGGGUAAAGUUAUAAGGAACUUUAUUCAUAUUUUUAGGGCUGUUUUAGAAAUAUAUUAGCAUGUUACCAAUGAGAAGUUAUUCAUAAGGAAUCUUAUUUGAAUUGUUUCUACUUAUUACAAUGUUGUGCAAUUAGUUGGAGAUGAUCUCUUGAUGUCUAAUGCAAAACGCAUUGAGAGUGCAGUGCAAGAAUAUGCGUGUAAUGCUCUUUUUCUUAAGAAUAAAAUCCAAAAACAACCAAUUAAGCAGAAUCCAGAAGCUACUCUUUACUGUGAUAUACACCAUAAAGCUAUAGGAAGAAGUGAAAAACUCAAUGCUCAUGAAAGCAAUAAACAAACCAUUGCGGCUGCAAUGCUUUUCUCCAUUCAAACUUCAAUUUCGUGGUAAUGACUACUACCUCUGUUGAUAAGUUUAUUUUUUAAUUGAUUUUUUGUUAUUUUUUAAUUAAAAAUUCUGAGAAAGAAGUACAAGUAUGAAUUUUAUUGAGAAAAUCAGAUAGGUAGUAUGAUCUUUUGUAAAAUAAUUAUUUUGUCUUCAUAUAUUAAUAUGUUAUGACUUUGUUCAAGUUAAUUUUAUUGACAAAAAAAUUAUACUUUAUUUGCAAAUUGGUUUCUUGAAACUUAGCUUAUUACUCUUCAAAGCUUUUGCAUCUACUGUAGAGUAUUAAUAUUUUUUUUUUUUCAGUAUCUAUUAAAGUGUAUGCAAUUCUCACUUAAGCUUUUCCUGGAUUUUGACAUUCUUUUAAGUCUAACGCAUUUCUUUCGAUUAAAAUGUCAAUUGCUGACAUUUUUCUAUCAUUCAAUAAACUUGAAAAAUAUACUUUUAUACAUGUCAAAAGUUUUCUCUUCUUUUCUAAACAAAAGGUGCUCUCUUCAUUUGUGUGAUAGUAAUGUGUCUUUGUGAGGAAAUUCUAGCUCACAUAUGCUUUUUCUUUCUUUGAAUGCAUGAUAGUAAUGGUUUGAAUGCUCACAUAUGCUUUUUACUUUUCUUUCUUUCUUUACUUCUAUGGUGAGGUUUGUUAUUAUUUAUAUAUGUUGAGUUAUUUUUUAUUUUGUAAAUUUUUCUUUCAUAAAAGUUGCUUUGUUUAUUUAUUGACACCUUUCUCCAAUAAAAAUACUCCUAUUAGUACCUAUUCACUAUUGCAUAAUUCUGGCAUACGCUUGAAAUAAUGUGAAUUAAAGUUGACCUUAAUGUUUUAUUCAUUUGUUUGCUAGCUAUUUUCACUAGCUACAUUUCUAUGCUAGGGACCAAGAAUUGAGUAUUUUGAAAUUUUAUCUAUUUGCAAUUGUUUUAAUGCAAUUUUGUACUGAUUUGGUAAAAAAAAAAUACUUAGAUUUUGGAGGUUAUCUAUUUUCGUUUCAAAAUUGAGAAGUUAGUUUUUUCUUUUUAUUUUAAACUUAUUAUUCAUCCUCCAUGAUAUACACCAAAUAUUAAAAGACAGAAAAUAAAAGUAUUUUUAUGAAUAAGGAGAUAAAAAUAGAAGAGAUCUUUAAGAAUGUUCAUCAUAACAAAAGAACUUGGGAGAGAUUUAAAUUUAAAAAGAAAUGUACAUGAAGUAUGUUUGCUCGCAAGGGGUGGGUGAGUGGUGAAUAGAAGAUGAUUUUGAGGCUGUGUAGGAUCUUAAUGUAAUGGUCGAGUGGUUAUUGUAUAUGUAGUUUGUUUAGAAAAACUGAUGUAACAGUCUUUCAUUUUUUCUUUUAGUUUAUGUUAUCUUUUUGUAUCAA